rnacentral:rRNA from 1 species
AGAGUUUGAUCCUGGCUCAGGACGAACGCUGGCGGCGCGCUUAAUGCAUGCAAGUCGAACGGAGCCUAGGGGGUAACCCCAAAGCUUAGUGGCGAACGGCUGAGUAACUCGUAAGCAACCUACCCCUUGGCGGGGGACAACCCUGAGAAAUCGGGGCUAAUACCGCAUAAGUUGUCUCCAUCAUGUGGAUUCAGGAAAGGCCUUAGGGCCACCGAGGGAGGGGCUUGCGACCUAUCAGGUAGUUGGCGGGGUAACGGCCCACCAAGCCUAUGACGGGUAGCUGGUCUGAGAGGAUGGUCAGCCAGAGGGGGACUGAGACACGGCCCCCACUCCUACGGGAGGCAGCAGCAGGGAAUCUUGCGCAAUGGGCGAAAGCCUGACGCAGCGACGCCGCGUGGGGGAAGAAGGCCUUCGGGUCGUAAACUCCUUUUCUGGGGGAAGAAACAAGACGGUACCCCAGGAAUAAGCCCCGGCUAACUACGUGCCAGCAGCCGCGGUAAUACGUAGGGGGCUAGCGUUGUCCGGAUUUACUGGGCGUAAAGGGCGUGUAGGCGGAAGAAGAAGUCCUCUGUGAAAUCUCUCGGCUUAACCGGGAGCGGUCGGAGGAUACUCUUCAUCUUGAGGACAGCAGGGGAGGGUGGAAUUCCCGGUGUAGUGGUGAAAUGCGUAGAUAUCGGGAGGAACACCAGUGGCGAAGGCGGCCCUCUGGGCUGAUCCUGACGCUGAGGCGCGAAAGCGUGGGGAGCAAACCGAAUUAGAUACUCGGGUAGUCCACGCCUUAAACUAUGGAUGCUAGGUAUGGGGGGUAUCGACCCCUUCCGUGCCGAAGCUAACGCGUUAAGCAUCCCGCCUGGGGAGUACGGCCGCAAGGCUAAAACUCAAAGGAAUUGACGGGGGCCCGCACAAGCAGCGGAGCGUGUGGUUUAAUUCGAUGCAAAGCGUAGAACCUUACCAGGGCUCGACAUGUCGGUGGUACCCUAGCGAAAGUCGGGGGACCCUUCGGGGAGCCGGCACAGAUGCUGCAUGGCUGUCGUCAGCUCGUGCCGUGAGGUGUUGGGUUAAGUCCCACAACGAGCGCAACCCUUGUCGCUAGUUGCUUUUUCUAGCGAAACUGCCCCGAACAACGGGGAGGAAGGUGGGGAUGACGUCAAGUCAGCAUGGCUCUUACGUCCUGGGCUACACACACGCUACAAUGGUCGGUACAACGGGUUGCUAAGGCGCGAGCCGGAGCCAAUCCCCCAAAGCCGGCCUCAGUUGGAAUUGCAGGCUGAAACCCGCCUGCAUGAACGUGGAGUUGCUAGUAACCGUGGGUCAGCACACCGCGGUGAAUACGUUCCCGGGCCUUGUACACACCGCCCGUCACGUCAUGGAAGCCGGCAACAUUUGAAGUCCGUGCGCUAACCCUUCGGGGAGGCAGCGGCCGAGGGUGGGGUUGGUGACUGGGACGAAGUCGUAACAAGGUAACC